UACGUAGGAGGCGAGCGUUGUCCGGAAUUACUGGGUGUAAAGCGCGUGUAGGCGGCCUGCCAAGUCUGCUGUGAAAGCGCCUGGCUUAACCGGGCGAGGUCGGUGGAAACUGGCGGGCUGGAGGCCGGUAGAGGGGGUGGAAUUCCCGGUGUAGUGGUGAAAUGCGUAGAGAUCGGGAGGAACACCAGUGGCGAAGGCGGCCCUCUGGGCCGGGCCUGACGCUGAGACGCGAAAGCGCGGGGAGCGAACGGG
rnacentral:rRNA from 1 species